rnacentral:lncRNA from 1 species
GAAAGGCAAACGUUCCAUGCCCUCAAGCUGAUGACUCUCAAGUGAACUGUACAGUAACCGAGAAGCUUGAUCCUGGAGUAGAAGAGAUGUUAUGGAGCCAAAAUCAAGCAUAGUUUUCCCUGAGUUGAGUGCAGAACCAGCAGAGUAUUUGUCAAUGUGUCCAUUACCACAGGAGGACAGAGUCCCAGAAAAAGUCCCACUUCUAAGCCCUUGAAGGCGGCUUUGAACAACUGCUGUGGUACAUACCACAUGCUCAACAGUAAUACAGGUUGACAGAUCCACCUGUCUGCUCCCCAGCGGUCCUGCUCAGCUUUUGGACAUGAGCGCUGAAGAUCCAAACUCAGCCUGCUUUCUUAUUCAACCCAGGACCACUCACUCACACAUCGGUCUCACCACCCACAAUGGGCUUCAUCCCGACCCUUCAAUCAUGAAUCUCAAGAAAAUGCUCCAUAGACAUGCCCACAGGUCGAUCUGAUGAAGGCAAUUCCACAAUAGAGGUUUCUCUUUCCAGUCUGGAAACCCCAUUGCAGCACCUCCUGAUUCCUGCACAGGUGAAGCAGCACUGGCCAGCGUCUUAGGAGACUCCACACACAGCGUCUCCCCUCUGCGGAAAUGUGCCCUUUCUCUUUAGACGCUCAUCUCAUGCAUUUUAGAAUGGAAAACUGUUCUCAUACUGUCUGUAAAGGUGUGGUCCUUCUUUCAGUCAAGAGCACAAAUCAGUAAACCCUUUCAAGUCACACACUGAUUCUUACAGUUCUCAGAGCUGAGUAUUUUAGUACUUUAGUAUUUAACUACACACAUCUGCUCUAAUUCUUCCCUUUGUAAUUCUCGGCACUCACAAGUUGGAUUUCAAUAGCCUCCAAAUUCGACCAUCUUUAUUCAACAUUUUCAUGUUUUAUCUUUGUUCUCUAAGAGCUUUGAUGUAUUUCUCGGCCUUCUAGUUCAUUGAUUCAUAUUUCAACAAGGACAGUGUUCUUUGACUCAUCCGUUGAUUUAUUCAUCUGAGAUGUUUCUUAAUACCUAAAACUCAUUAUUUGACUUUCUUUUUGGUGAUCCCCCCACUUUUUUUUCCCAAACCUGAGUUUCAUUUACUUUUGCCAACAGUAAGCAGUAACUUGAGCAGUGUAGUCUGACUUUCCCACGUGACCUCCCUCUUGCCCUUGUUACCAUGCCCUGCAAUCUGAUAGUUUCUGUUGCUAUGUCACUGGCUCUUAGCACUGGUUGCUGGAGUACCCUAAAGGGCAGAAAUACUGCAAGGGUGAAAAGCAGAUGUUCUGUCAAUUCCCUGCCAAGAUACAUAGAGAACAAUGUCUGCCCUCUAUCUCUGCUUGCUCAGCCCUGGAGACAGAAAAGAUGCUGUUAAGCUACUCUAGUGUGGGAGUUUUGAAGACAUAACAUGAAUAAAAACUGACCACAGGGGUCCAGAGACUUCUGGAGCCCAAAUUUUCCUUACAACAUCUGCUGCAUUUUUGAUACGUAUCCUGAGCACUUUUCUCUUAAUUGCGUGCUCAACUAAAGGAGGAAAUUUUUCAGAAUAAUGUUACCUGCCCAAGGUGCCAUGUCUACUGUUCUCAUAUCUCAACAGUCAUUUCAUUCACAAAGAGAAGCAUCUCAUAAUUAAAAAUAAAAAGGAAAAAAACCUCAUACGGGUCAGCUUGAUUUUAAAAUUCUCAAAUGAACAGAAGCCUGGGAGCGGGUUGAGGGACUAUAGAUCUGAAGUGGGUUUGAAUAUUGUAAGCAUUCCCUCAAAUCAGCAGCUUGCCCAGUAAGCUGAACACAGUAUAGAAAAACAAUGAUGUGUUUUACAUAUGUCCUCAAAAACACAUCUUAAACUACGCUGCAGCUACCCGUCAUCCUAGGCAAGCAUUAGUGGAAUAUCACUCCUAGCUAUUCCAGGACACAAUUAUCUUUUGUUUUAACACAACUUCAAACCAAUUUUCUGUGAUUUCAGUUAGAAGAAAAACAAAUUGUAACUUUGGGCAAUCAGAUACAUUUCUCAAAUAUACUAGCAAGCCAUGCAUAUGUUAAAAGCAUGCCAGCUACUAUACAGAAGUUCAAACGAAUAUUCCCCCACAUGGUUUACACAGCCUAGACACCAAUCAAUAUUGGUUUUGAUUAACUGUGUUUUUGCUCUCUGAAUAUCACAAAUGGUAAGGUGUUUAAUUGGGGACAGUUUCUAAAUAACUCAGACUAUAAAGUGAAAUUAGUGAAAAACUUUUUUAAUUAUAUAGAAGUUUGUGACCAUUCCUCAUUCAAGAAUUUAUAAGUCCAUAUAAAAUGUCCAAAAAUCUCAAUUGCAAUCUCGAAAGUGCACAAAGUACUGUAGUUUAUUGUCCUACUAUCUAGAUAGGAAUCAUGUAGGAUAUGAAAUUUGGGUUUCAUCCUUGAAUCGGCAGGUAAUGUAAUUCUGUGUACUCUAUUCCACACAAUAUCCUGAAUUGAUCGAAGUAGAUUUGCUUUACCAUUGAUAGUGGUAUCUGAUAUAGCUGAUAUAUUUCUUUUCUGAAUCACAGUAAAUAAAAUUUUUAUU